UACGUAGGGGCAAGCGUUGUCCGGAAUCAUUGGGCGUAAAGAGCGUGUAGGCGGUUCGGUAAGUCGGCUGUGAAAGUCCAGGGCUCAACCCUGGGAUGCCGGUCGAUACUGCCGGACUAGAGUUCGGAAGAGGCGAGUGGAAUUCCUGGUGUAGCGGUGAAAUGCGCAGAUAUCAGGAGGAACACCUAUUGCGAAGGCAGCUCGCUGGGACGUAACUGACGCUGAGACGCGAAAGCGUGGGGAGCAAACAGG
rnacentral:rRNA from 1 species